GACGGAGGGUGCAAGCGUUGUUCGGAUUGACUGGGCGUAAAGGGCGUGUAGGCGGUUUGUCAAGUCGGGUGUGAAAGCCUGGGGCUCAGCCCCAGAAGUGCAUCCGAAACUAGCGAGCUAGAGCGCGAUAGAGGAGGGUGGAAUUCCUGGUGUAGCGGUGAAAUGCGUAGAUAUCGGGAGGAACACCUGUGGCGAAAGCGGCGCACUGGACCACUACUGACGCUGAGGCGCGAAAGCUAGGGGAGCAAACAG
rnacentral:rRNA from 1 species